rnacentral:rRNA from 1 species
AUACGUAGGGUGCGAGCGUUGUCCGGAAUUACUGGGCGUAAAGAGCUCGUAGGUGGUUUGUCGCGUCGUCUGUGAAAUUCCGGGGCUUAACUCCGGGCGUGCAGGCGAUACGGGCAUAACUUGAGUACUGUAGGGGAGACUGGAAUUCCUGGUGUAGCGGUGAAAUGCGCAGAUAUCAGGAGGAACACCGGUGGCGAAGGCGGGUCUCUGGGCAGUAACUGACGCUGAGGAGCGAAAGCAUGGGUAGCGAACAGGAUUAGAUACCCUGGUAGUCCAUGCCGUAAACGGUGGGCGCUAGGUGUAGGGGUCUUCCACGACUUCUGUGCCGUAGCUAACGCAUUAAGCGCCCCGCCUGGGGAGUACGGCCGCAAGGCUUAAACUCAAAUGAAUUGGCGGGG